GGAGGGAUGGUAGAGCGGUUAAUACAACGGAUUGCUAAUCCGUGAACCGAGCAAUUGGUUCCCCGGGUUCGAAUCCCGGUCCCUCCGCCA
rnacentral:tRNA from 1 species